rnacentral:lncRNA from 1 species
GUGAGGCCCAGGCAUCAGUAUUGGGUUUUUUUUUCCAGUGUCCCAGGUGAAUUCAAUGUGUGGCCAAGUUAGAAACCAGUGCCUUAGAGAGAAUAAGAUGAAAAGAGAAGACUGGGAACCUGACUAAUUUCCAGGAGCCAAUCUGGUCUUUUCCCACUGGGCGAGGGCCUCCAGUGGCUCCGGAAAGCAGAUCACUCACAUAACAUUAACCUCCAAAGCAAGAGCACUUUGGCUAAAUUCAAAAACUGUUAUUUUUUGAGACAGGGUACAUUUCUUUUUUUUUUUUUUUUUUUUUUUUAUGGUACUGGGGAUUGAACUCAGGACCUUGCGCUUUCAAGGCAGGCACUGGAACCACUGAGCUAAAUCCCCGGCCCCAGGGUAUAUUUCUGAUGGAACAGAGUUUUAUUUCAAAGGCCUGGAAAAACAUGUAAUCUCUGUUAUGGUUUGGAACUUUAAAGUCCCCCAAAGGCCACCUGUUUAAGACUUGGUCACCAGCCUGUGGUGCUGCUGGGAGGUAGUGGGACUUUUUUUUUUUUUUCGUGAUACUGGAGAUUAAACCUAGGCCCUCUGCACUAAGGAGCGAUAAGAAACCUAACCCACACGACCUGUAGAGUAAGUUUGCCGGUUCACUGACUCCCAUCACAGAAAAAUAAUUUUCAGGACACAUCAAUGAGAGGCACAAAGGGAAUUAUUAGGCAGAAGUUUAAAAAUAACACUCAAAGGAAUAGAGUGCAAGCCCUCAAGAGAGAGAGGCACCUUAUUUCCCGGAACUGGGACAUUUAUGCUUCUCUUGAGGGACUGGAAACCCCAGGAAAAGGUGGCUGAGCCCUCAUAUUACAGGUGCUGUCCCAUGUUACAAAUAUGAGCCCAGAGUUUUUUAGAUGGAUUAUGUAAGCAUUAUUUUAAUUCCCUCAAUCUGUCCCUUUAUCUUAGAAUUAGGAUUCUGAUCUUUUCCUUCUGAGUUAAGCCAAUUUAUGGACUCUCGGGAUUCCUGAGGCAUGUUGGGGGAGAUGGGUCUGGAAGGAGAGGGGCCUGAAUGUGACCAAGGGAACAUCAACACCCUGAGUGACUUCCACAGGAUCCCAGAAGUUUCUGUCUUCUUAAAAGUACAAUCUUUAGUUAUGAUUUUCCGUGUCUCCUUUCUACCUUUUAUAUUUCUUCUUUCUUGCCUCAUCCUGAGCAAUGCUGUUGUUAAAUACGCACCUCCUGUGGACCUUCCAUGCAAUACAACUGGACCAUAUGCGCUUCCGGGCACUGACUGCCCACUUAGUAAGUCUCUACCCACCUCCACUGCCCCCACUAAGCUCAGCUCAGCCUGUCUUGAGCAGGACGGAUGGCAAGAAACACAGCCCUCCCUCAGGACCAGGGGAAAUUGGCUCUGUCACUGAGCAGACUCCAUGGAGGUCCCCAGAGAGGAGGUGGAGACCCUUUUGAGACUUCGCUGACUCUCCUUGCAGAAAGAAUUUUCAAGACGCGUAAGAGAUGUGGAGGGUUACGAGGUCCAUCCUGUAAAGGCCCCACCACCCUUCACUCCAUGCUGAGGACCAGGCCUGCAACACUGGAACUCCUGGUGGACAAAACGCAUCACAACUACACCAAUUACCAAAAGUAUGAAGCGGAAAGAGACCCCUGGGACAGAUGAUAAUGCCACCGCAGGGAGCAGGGGAAGAGGAGCAUGCUGGGAGGACAAUUCCCUAAGGAAUGACGGACCAACAAGAUGAAAAGUAGCAGGAUCCUGGAAGGACUGGAACAGCUGCCAACUGGACUCUCAUCACAGACUUGGCGAAAGACUUGGGAAUUAUCCGUCCUCUGUUGGAGGAGGAGCUCUCUGCCCAAGCAUCCUAAACCUUCACCCUCUAUAAUAGGCCAUUCAUUUAAGGUGCACAAUGACCCAGAGAGUUGGCUACUAUUAUUAUUCCUGUUUCACAUGUAAGGUUACUGAGGCUCAGAGAAGGCUGAAUAAUUUGCCCAAAUCUAUCGCUGAACCGCCCUAAAUGGACCCAAUCUUACAAGCUUGCUUGGUGCUUGGAUGGGAGGCUGCUUAUCACUGCCAGAAGCCCGAGGCUUUACAAUAAUAAUAAAUUCACCCACAAUUCCCAAACCAUGUGGUGCAAACAACAUCAGAAGCCAGAUUCCUUCAGCUCUAAAGAACACACACAAGUUCUGACUCACAAGUUCCAGGGCUGAGGCUGAGAAUCUGCAUUUGUAUAAAG